GUCAACCCAUUAACCUUCUAACCCAUCAAAUUAAAUGAGUUGAUGGGUUGACUCAACUCAUUUAGUAAAUAAAUUCAUUAACCUUAGUAAAAUGAGUUGAGUCAACCCAUCAACUCAUUUAACUCUAAACUCAUUGGGUAAUGAGU